rnacentral:lncRNA from 1 species
AGGGAGGUAGAGAGCAGACCUUGGUUGAAGGAAGUUAAUCUAGCAGUGGCACAUAGAAUAGACUUGAGGGUGGGAAGACUUCUUUCUAGAAAUAACCUGACUUAAUAGAAUGCUUUUCUGUCUCCAACUCUGUCUCCCGGUUGACAGCACAUCCCAGAGAUGCAGUGUAGCCUGGAAGUCUCUACUGUGGCUGCAGCUUCAAGCAGUGGAACGUUCUGAGACCAAGGUCAAGGUGCUGGGUUCAGGACUUAUUUCUGUAACAGGCUAGGUGGAUCCUGCCUCCCCACUUUGGACGUUGGACAUAGGACCGGUGCUUGGGGCAGCCCUGAAUGUCCGUGGAAGUGGACCUGCUGUCAGAGUGGCCUGAGCCAAGCGUGCACGCUGGAGCCCGGAGGAGAAGGAGGAGGAGGAGCACCAGCCAUGCUUCGGAAAGACCUGGACGCCACUGGCAGCCAGCGCGUGCUCAGACUUAGGGGAGGAAGACUUCGGGGCACUGGGCGGAAGGGGGUUCCUGCUUCUUUCUUCCUUCCUCCUGCCGCCUGCCUCCAAGGCAAGGUCUUUCCCAGCUGGAUGGCUCUCUGGAUUGUGUAGCACCUAAGACAGGAAAGAGAGAGAAAGGAAAACAAAUCAAGUGAAACCUCUCCUGUGUGCUCAGCCUGCAGGGGCUUCGGGGCUGGGGGUGGCUGGAGUGGGAAGCUCGGUGCUCGCACAGGCGGGUUGGAGAGUGAUUCUCCACAGGAAACCUGAGAAACGUUUAUUCAGCUAACUGACACUAAACAAGGUGGGGCAGCCCGGGUGGGCCAAGGAGCCAAGCUGGUCCUGUUGGGACACACUUUCCUGCGGGGGACAUAUCCACAUCGGUGAGUCUUCCCACAUAAAGGGCAGGCUGGCAUUUAAUGCACCUUCCAGGAGGGCUCCAUGUUUAUUUCCUUCCUUUUCUUUGUUUUUGUUGUUUUUGUACUGGGGAUUGAACCCAGAGCCUCCAAACUGAGCUACAUCCCCAGCAAUUUUUUUUUGCUACCAGGGAUCGAACUCAGGUCCUUGUGCUAGCACUGCAGGCACAGGAACCACUGAGCUAAAUCCCUGGACCCCCCCCAGCAAUUUUUUAACAUUUUAUUUUGAGACAGGAUCUUACUAAGUCUCUUAAUUGCCCAGGCCCAGCUGAAACCCGCAGUCCUCUUGCCUCAGCCUCUCAGAGUGCUGAGAUUACAGGCUUGUGCCAUCCUGCCUGGCUUUGCCCUUUUUGUUUUCCCCGGUGGAGGCAGCUUUUCCCUGUUAGUGGUGUGGCUCCUGCAGGCACACAGCUAUCCGGGUGUCCAGUGUGACUACGCUCUGACCUUAGAACCUGUAUGUCAGUGUGUGGUGGUUGCUUUGUUCAAACAGCUG